GUGUGCGGAGAGGAGGAGACAGUUCAACUUCAACUUUCAGCCCCCUGCUCCACGACACCGCUUUAACGUGGAGGCGUCUGGCGGAGGCCGCAACCACCGCAACUUCAACGUAGGGGGCACUGUCCACGGCGAGUACGACCUGUAUCGUAGCAGGGGCGGCACACGAGUGGUGGGCUCUGGUGGAGUUGCACACGGUGCGACACGCAUUGACGGCAAGACGUACAAAGGCAGGCCCCAAGGCUCUGUGGGCAUCGGCGUCGAGAUUCCCAUUGGAAAAGGCCGAUGAGCUGAACCACAUCUGUGUUCGCAAACC
rnacentral:lncRNA from 1 species